AAUUCUAAUUUAAAAAUAAACAAACAAGUUAUGAGUUAAAUAAAUAACUUGAUGAUAAAAUAAUCCAUAGAUCAAAAUAUAGAGAGAGAGUGAUGUAUGAAAGAUAAGUGUAAAGACUUUGAGGAGUUUAACAAUAGGGUUGUGGUUAGCAUACUUACAGUACUAAUCAAUUGAGUUUAUUGCCAGCUGCGUCUCCUGUUGCUGACAAUCAUCUCGGCGUCUCUUGGGCGGCAUUCAUUUUUUUUUUUUUUUUUCCUACUAUGUGUUGAUUUUUGCUGUUGUAUUCGUAGUCUAGAUAUUUGGAGCUUGUACUAAAUUGAUAUUGUUCUCAAACAUAUUUCAUAUGGCUUUGCAUUUGAUGUUUUUUGCUUCAUUUGAUAGUUGGUAAGAUGCCUAUGAUGAUUUAUGCGAAAAUGUUGAUGCCCUAUUGUUCUUGAUAUUUUGAAUAUAAUUUGAGCCGAUUUGCAUGAUUGAUGAGUAAUUUUUGCCUUGGCUUUUG
rnacentral:lncRNA from 1 species